AAUCGAAUGCAUGAGCUAAGAAUUCUGAUUAUCUAAGUAUUCUUGAUCUCAAGAAUCAUGUCAAAAUGGUUGAGAGCAUGGAAGGCUAACGGGCUAAGAAGACUCAAGUAAAACAAACGCAAAUACGGACGCACAAGAAUGAAAUAGGGAAUGCAGGUAUACUCGUGAUGGAAGUUGAAGGUAGGCGCCAAAAUCCAAUGCGGGUGGUUUGAAUGGAUGGAUGAAUGGACUAACAUAAGCGAGAGCAUGAUAUGUUAAAGCCUAAUUAUGCAUGUUUAAAUUUUAUAUAUGAUGACACCGAUUGCUAAUGAUGUGAUUGUACGUGGUGUCUGCAGGUUGUACAGAACUGUGGAUUCUCACCAUGGAGUG